rnacentral:rRNA from 1 species
CAGCAGCCGCGGUAAUAUGGAGGGGGCUAGCGUUGUUCGGAAUUACUGGGCGUAAAGCGCACGUAGGCGGCUUUGUAAGUUAGAGGUGAAAGCCCGGGGCUCAACCCCGGAAUUGCCUCUAAGACUGCAUCGCUUGAGCGUCGGAGAGGUGAGUGGAAUUCCGAGUGUAGAGGUGAAAUUCGUAGAUAUUCGGAAGAACACCAGUGGCGAAGGCGGCUCACUGGACGACUGUUGACGCUGAGGUGCGAAAGCGUGGGGAGCAAACAGGAUUAGAUACCCCUGUAGUCCCUGUCUCUUAUAC